rnacentral:lncRNA from 1 species
AGUCCUGAUGUGCCAGGGCUGGAGGGAGAUUGAGGUUCCUGUCACAGGGAGGAAAUGAUCUGUUGCAGCAGUGGGGGUUCAUGAGAGAAGGGAAUUUGUAACGUGCCCAUCGCCAUGACCAGCUUCUGGUGCUGUUGAACACAGAUUUGACAGGCUAAUGAAAACUGGUUUUCUGACAACGCUGAGUUACGAGAUGGCAGCACCUGUUGGACUUCAGUGAAAAUAUUCUUGUGGGCUCUGGUUUGCACUUUUUCAAGCCAUGGCUGAGGGAGUGCUGAAGUGUGCAGGGAGCAGAAGGUCCAGCCCAGUGUGGAAGGGUUGGCUGGAGCCUGGUUUGGAUGUCAGUGCAAACAGUGCCACCCUGGCUCCACCAGGAUGUACCUUUGAGUGGAGAGGAGCAGCUCUAAGAAAGCCAAGUACUGAAGAUGUGCAGAAACCUCCGUGGGACUGGUGAUUCCACAGCUGAGAGAAUGAGAGGGGACAUAACUGAGCG